GAUGAAGAACGCAGCGAAAUGCGAUACGUAAUGUGAAUUGCAGAAUUCAGUGAAUCAUCGAGUCUUCGAACGCACAUUGCGCCCCCUGGUAUUCCGGGGGGCAUGCCUGUCCGAGCGUCAUUGCUGCCCUCAAGCACGGCUUGUGUGUUGGGCCUCCGUCCUCCUCCCGGGGGACGGGCCCGAAAGGCAGCGGCGGCACCGCGUCCGGUCCUCGAGCGUAUGGGGCUUCGUCACCCGCUCUUGUAGGCCCGGCCGGCGCUUGCCGACACAUCAAUCUUUUUUCCAGGUUGACCUCGGAUCAGGUAGGGAUACCCGCUGAACUUAAGCAUAUCAAUAAGCGGAGGA
rnacentral:misc_RNA from 1 species